rnacentral:tRNA from 1 species
GCGUCAUUAGCUCAGCUGGAUAGAGCACCGGCCUUCUAAGCCGUAGGUCACUGGUUCGAAUCCAGUAUGACGCGCCA